rnacentral:rRNA from 1 species
CGGACGGGUGAGUAGUGUCUGGGAAACUGCCCGAUGGAGGGGGAUAACUACUGGAAACGGUAGCUAAUACCGCAUAACGUCGCAAGACCAAAGAGGGGGACCUUCGGGCCUCUUGCCAUCGGAUGUGCCCAGAUGGGAUUAGCUAGUAGGUGGGGUAACGGCUCACCUAGGCGACGAUCCCUAGCUGGUCUGAGAGGAUGACCAGCCACACUGGAACUGAGACACGGUCCAG